rnacentral:rRNA from 1 species
AGAGUUUGAUCCUGGCUCAGGACGAACGCUGGCGGCGUGCUUAACACAUGCAAGUCGAACGGUGAAGUCCCUUCGGGGGCGGAUCAGUGGCGAACGGGUGAGUAACACGUGGGCAAUCUGCCCCUCACUGUGGGAUAACUCCGGGAAACCGGGGCUAAUACCGCAUAUGAAGCCUGGCGGCAUCGCCGGGUUUGGAAAGUUUUUCGGUGAGGGAUGAGCCCGCGGCCUAUCAGCUUGUUGGUGAGGUAAUGGCUCACCAAGGCGACGACGGGUAGCCGGCCUGAGAGGGCGACCGGCCACACUGGGACUGAGACACGGCCCAGACUCCUACGGGAGGCAGCAGUGGGGAAUAUUGGGCAAUGGGCGAAAGCCUGACCCAGCGACGCCGCGUGC